rnacentral:tRNA from 1 species
GGCUAUUACCUCAGCCUUCCAAGCUGAUGAUGCGGGUUCGAUUCCCGCUGCCCGCUCCA